rnacentral:lncRNA from 1 species
AGUUUCCCAAUAGCUGCAGCUGUCUAGCACCCGGAGCUAUUUUUAAACUCCUUUUCAGAAACUCCAGUGCUUGCGAUGGAUCUAUUUUCUUAACUGCCAAGAGAUAAUGCUUAAAAGGGAUAGCUUGAAAAUAUUCCACGGCGCUCAUACAAAUGACUGAAAUAGAGAGUGUACAAGACGGCCUUUGUCUGGAGCAGCAGAGGAAAGCAAGAUGAAGUCUUUCAGACCCCAGGACCGUGGUGCUGCUGGAUCUGCUGCUGACAACCGUGGCUUUGUGUCUUGAAUGUGCACUGUGACCAGAAAAGGCAAGAAAACCAAACAGUAAUUGUAGAGAACAUCAGAGACCUGGCAUUUAAAUUGGUCAUUGAUUCCAGGAAACAGGAGACCCCAAAAUAGCUCCCAAAGAAUCCCCCUUGACUUGAAGAGUGCUGCCUUAUCUCAGCCCUGGUUCAGGUCUGGAAAUCAACUGCCGUAUACGUACUUGAGAACAAGUAUGAAAGUGUCUCUGAGGGAGGUAUCCAGGGAACAAAUAAAGGGGAGAGCAUGGCAAAGUAUUUCUGAUAUGAU